CCUACGGGAGGCUGCAGUGGGGAAUAUUGGACAAUGGGGGCAACCCUGAUCCAGCCAUGCCGCGUGUGUGAAGAAGGCCCUCGGGUUGUAAAGCACUUUCAGUGAGGAAGAACGCCUGGUGGUUAAUACCCAUCAGGAAAGACAUCACUCACAGAAGAAGCACCGGCUAACUCCGUGCCAGCAGCCGCGGUAAUACGGCGGGUGCGAGCGUUAAUCGGAAUUACUGGGCGUAAAGCGCGCGUAGGUGGCUUGAUAAGCCGGUUGUGAAAGCCCCGGGCUCAACCUGGGAACGGCAUCCGGAACUGUCAAGCUAGAGUGCAGGAGAGGAAGGUAGAAUUCCCGGUGUAGCGGUGAAAUGCGUAGAGAUCGGGAGGAAUACCAGUGGCGAAGGCGGCCUUCUGGACUGACACUGACACUGAGGUGCGAAAGCGUGGGUAGCAAACAGGAUUAGAUACCCUAGUAGUC
rnacentral:rRNA from 1 species